UACCAGCACUCCGAGUGGUCGGGACGAUUAUUGGGCCUAAAGCAUCCGUAGCCGGUUCUACAAGUCUUCCGUUAAAUCCACCUGCUUAACAGAUGGGCUGCGGAGGAUACUAUAGAGCUAGGAGGCGGGAGAGGCAAGCGGUACUUAGUGGGUAGGGGUAAAAUCCGUUGAUCCAUUGAAGACCACCAGUGGCGAAGGCGGCUUGCCAGAACGCACUCGACGGUGAGGGAUGAAAGCUGGGGGAGCAAACCGG
rnacentral:rRNA from 1 species